rnacentral:rRNA from 1 species
AACAGGAUUAGAUACCCUGGUAGUCCACGCCGUAAACGAUGUCGACUUGGAGGUUGUGCCCUUGAGGCGUGGCUUCCGGAGCUAACGCGUUAAGUCGACCGCCUGGGGAGUACGGCCGCAAGGUUAAAACUCAAAUGAAUUGACGGGGGCCCGCACAAGCGGUGGAGCAUGUGGUUUAAUUCGAUGCAACGCGAAGAACCUUACCUACCCUUGACAUCCAGAGAACUUAGCAGAGAUGCUUUGGUGCCUUCGGGAACUCUGAGACAGGUGCUGCAUGGCUGUCGUCAGCUCGUGUUGUGAAAUGUUGGGUUAAGUCCCGCAACGAGCGCAACCCUUAUCCUUUGUUGCCAGCGGUCCGGCCGGGAACUCAAAGGAGACUGCCAGUGAUAAACUGGAGGAAGGUGGGGAUGACGUCAAGUCAUCAUGGCCCUUACGAGUAGGGCUACACACGUGCUACAAUGGCGCAUACAAAGAGAAGCGACCUCGCGAGAGCAAGCGGACCUCAUAAAGUGCGUCGUAGUCCGGAUUGGAGUCUGCAACUCGACUCCAUGAAGUCGGAAUCGCUAGUAAUCGUGGAUCAGAAUGCCACGGUGAAUACGUUCCCGGGCCUUGUACACACCGCCCGUCACACCAUGGGAGUGGGUUGCAAAAGAAGUAGGUAGCUUAACCCUCGGGAGGGCGCUUACCACUUUGUGAUUCAUGACUGGGGUGAAGUCGUAACAAGGUAACC